UGCUUAUAUGUCUGUCUGCUUGCCUGUUGGCCUGUACGUGUAAGCUAUGUGUCUGACUGUCUAUCCGUCCAUUGUGUGUUUCACAAACAAUACACACUUUACAAAUAAAGACAAUAAAGCUGGAGUCUCGAGUUACCAAAUCUUGAAGUGGUUGUGUCUUGUGCAGUGACACAUUGAUAGAGGCGUAGCAAUAUAAACUGGGAAUACAUCUUAUAUUACAGUGGAAAAACAACAAAGUAGCCGUUGCAUCAAAACUUUGAAAGGUCUAAAAUCUCAUGAUGCUGGAUUGUAGACUGUAGAACACACUGAUUCACCUCGUCAGUCAAUCGGAACACGUGAACUCAAUGGAAUUGGAAUCAAAUCUCACCAAAAAAAAACUGUCUCGAGAUAGAGUUUCAUUGAACACUUGACAGUAUAGCAUGUUUAUAGAAUGAUACCUUCAAUGUUACUUUAUAAAGGAUAAUAAAAUGUUACAAACC
rnacentral:sRNA from 1 species